GGGUUGUGAGGUUAAGCGACUAAGCGUACACGGUGGAUGCCCUGGCAGUCAGAGGCGAUGAAGGACGUGCUAAUCUGCGAUAAGCGUCGGUAAGGUGAUAUGAACCGUUAUAACCGGCGAUUUCCGAAUGGGGAAACCCAGUGUGUUUCGACACACUAUCAUUAACUGAAUCCAUAGGUUAAUGAGGCGAACCGGGGGAACUGAAACAUCUAAGUACCCCGAGGAAAAGAAAUCAACCGAGAUUCCCCCAGUAGCGGCGAGCGAACGGGGAGCAGCCCAGAGCCUGAAUCAGUGUGUGUGUUAGUGGAAGCGUCUGGAAAGGCGCGCGAUACAGGGUGACAGCCCCGUACACAAAAAUGCACAUAUUGUGAGCUCGAUGAGUAGGGCGGGACACGUGGUAUCCUGUCUGAAUAUGGGGGGACCAUCCUCCAAGGCUAAAUACUCCUGACUGACCGAUAGUGAACCAGUACCGUGAGGGAAAGGCGAAAAGAACCCCGGCGAGGGGAGUGAAAAAGAACCUGAAACCGUGUACGUACAAGCAGUGGGAGCACGCUUAGGCGUGUGACUGCGUACCUUUUGUAUAAUGGGUCAGCGACUUAUAUUCUGUAGCAAGGUUAACCGAAUAGGGGAGCCGAAGGGAAACCGAGUCUUAACUGGGCGUUAAGUUGCAGGGUAUAGACCCGAAACCCGGUGAUCUAGCCAUGGGCAGGUUGAAGGUUGGGUAACACUAACUGGAGGACCGAACCGACUAAUGUUGAAAAAUUAGCGGAUGACUUGUGGCUGGGGGUGAAAGGCCAAUCAAACCGGGAGAUAGCUGGUUCUCCCCGAAAGCUAUUUAGGUAGCGCCUCGUGAAUUCAUCUCCGGGGGUAGAGCACUGUUUCGGCAAGGGGGUCAUCCCGACUUACCAACCCGAUGCAAACUACGAAUACCGGAGAAUGUUAUCACGGGAGACACACGGCGGGUGCUAACGUCCGUCGUGAAGAGGGAAACAACCCAGACCGCCAGCUAAGGUCCCAAAGUCAUGGUUAAGUGGGAAACGAUGUGGGAAGGCCCAGACAGCCAGGAUGUUGGCUUAGAAGCAGCCAUCAUUUAAAGAAAGCGUAAUAGCUCACUGGUCGAGUCGGCCUGCGCGGAAGAUGUAACGGGGCUAAACCAUGCACCGAAGCUGCGGCAGCGACGCUUAUGCGUUGUUGGGUAGGGGAGCGUUCUGUAAGCCUGCGAAGGUGUGCUGUGAGGCAUGCUGGAGGUAUCAGAAGUGCGAAUGCUGACAUAAGUAACGAUAAAGCGGGUGAAAAGCCCGCUCGCCGGAAGACCAAGGGUUCCUGUCCAACGUUAAUCGGGGCAGGGUGAGUCGACCCCUAAGGCGAGGCCGAAAGGCGUAGUCGAUGGGAAACAGGUUAAUAUUCCUGUACUUGGUGUUACUGCGAAGGGGGGACGGAGAAGGCUAUGUUGGCCGGGCGACGGUUGUCCCGGUUUAAGCGGGUAGGCUGGUUUUCCAGGCAAAUCCGGAAAAUCAAGGCUGAGGCGUGAUGACGAGGCACUACGGUGCUGAAGCAACAAAUGCCCUGCUUCCAGGAAAAGCCUCUAAGCAUCAGGUAACAUCAAAUCGUACCCCAAACCGACACAGGUGGUCAGGUAGAGAAUACCAAGGCGCUUGAGAGAACUCGGGUGAAGGAACUAGGCAAAAUGGUGCCGUAACUUCGGGAGAAGGCACGCUGAUAUGUAGGUGAAGUCCCUCGCGGAUGGAGCUGAAAUCAGUCGAAGAUACCAGCUGGCUGCAACUGUUUAUUAAAAACACAGCACUGUGCAAACACGAAAGUGGACGUAUACGGUGUGACGCCUGCCCGGUGCCGGAAGGUUAAUUGAUGGGGUCAGCGCAAGCGAAGCUCUUGAUCGAAGCCCCGGUAAACGGCGGCCGUAACUAUAACGGUCCUAAGGUAGCGAAAUUCCUUGUCGGGUAAGUUCCGACCUGCACGAAUGGCGUAAUGAUGGCCAGGCUGUCUCCACCCGAGACUCAGUGAAAUUGAACUCGCUGUGAAGAUGCAGUGUACCCGCGGCAAGACGGAAAGACCCCGUGAACCUUUACUAUAGCUUGACACUGAACAUUGAGCCUUGAUGUGUAGGAUAGGUGGGAGGCUUUGAAGUGUGGACGCCAGUCUGCAUGGAGCCGGCCUUGAAAUACCACCCUUUAAUGUUUGAUGUUCUAACGUUGACCCGUAAUCCGGGUUGCGGACAGUGUCUGGUGGGUAGUUUGACUGGGGCGGUCUCCUCCUAAAGAGUAACGGAGGAGCACGAAGGUUGGCUAAUCCUGGUCGGACAUCAGGAGGUUAGUGCAAUGGCAUAAGCCAGCUUGACUGCGAGCGUGACGGCGCGAGCAGGUGCGAAAGCAGGUCAUAGUGAUCCGGUGGUUCUGAAUGGAAGGGCCAUCGCUCAACGGAUAAAAGGUACUCCGGGGAUAACAGGCUGAUACCGCCCAAGAGUUCAUAUCGACGGCGGUGUUUGGCACCUCGAUGUCGGCUCAUCACAUCCUGGGGCUGAAGUAGGUCCCAAGGGUAUGGCUGUUCGCCAUUUAAAGUGGUACGCGAGCUGGGUUUAGAACGUCGUGAGACAGUUCGGUCCCUAUCUGCCGUGGGCGCUGGAGAACUGAGGGGGGCUGCUCCUAGUACGAGAGGACCGGAGUGGACGCAUCACUGGUGUUCGGGUUGUCAUGCCAAUGGCACUGCCCGGUAGCUAAAUGCGGAAGAGAUAAGUGCUGAAAGCAUCUAAGCACGAAACUUGCCCCGAGAUGAGUUCUCCCUGACUCCUUGAGAGUCCUGAAGGAACGUUGAAGACGACGACGUUGAUAGGCCGGGUGUGUAAGCGCAGCGAUGCGUUGAGCUAACCGGUACUAAUGAACCGUGAGGCUUAACCUUACAACGCCGAAGGUGUUU
rnacentral:rRNA from 1 species